rnacentral:rRNA from 1 species
AGGUAAGCUACUAAGAGCGAAUGGUGGAUGCCUUGACUGGUAAAGGCGAUGAAGGACGUACUAGACUGCGAUAAGCUACGGGGAGCUGUCAAGAAGCUUUGAUCCGUAGAUUUCCGAAUGGGGCAACCCAAUGUAUAGAGAUAUACAUUACCUAUAUAGGAGCGAACGAGGGGAAUUGAAACAUCUUAGUACCCUCAGGAAAAGAAAUCAAUAGAGAUUGCGUCAGUAGCGGCGAGCGAAAGCGCAAGAGGGCAAACCCAGUGCUUGCACUGGGGGUUGUAGGACUGCAAUGUGCAAGAGGUAAGUUUAGCAGAACAUUCUGGAAAGUAUAACCAUAGAGGGUGAUAGUCCCGUAUGCGAAAAACAAACCUUAGCUAGCAGUAUCCUGAGUAGGGCGGGACACGAGGAAUCCUGUCUGAAUCCGGGUCGACCACGAUCCAACCCUAAAUACUAAUACCAGAUCGAUAGUGCACAAGUACCGUGAGGGAAAGGUGAAAAGAACUGAGGUGAUCAGAGUGAAAUAGAACCUGAAACCAUUUGCUUACAAUCAUUCAGAGCCCUAUGUAGCAAUACAGGGUGAUGGACUGCCUUUUGCAUAAUGAGCCUGCGAGUUGUGGUGUCUGGCAAGGUUAAGCAAACGCGAAGCCGUAGCGAAAGCGAGUCUGAAUAGGGCGCUUAGUCAGAUGCUGCAGACCCGAAACGAAGUGAUCUAUCCAUGAGCAAGUUGAAGCUAGUGUAAGAACUAGUGGAGGACUGAACCCAUAGGCGUUGAAAAGCCCCGGGAUGACUUGUGGAUAGGGGUGAAAGGCCAAUCAAACUUCGUGAUAGCUGGUUCUCUCCGAAAUAUAUUUAGGUAUAGCGUUGUGUCGUAAUAUAAGGGGGUAGAGCACUGAAUGGGCUAGGGCAUACACCAAUGUACCAAACCCUAUCAAACUCCGAAUACCUUAUAUGUAAUCACAGCAGUCAGGCGGCGAGUGAUAAAAUCCGUCGUCAAGAGGGAAACAACCCAGACUACCAGCUAAGGUCCCUAAAUCUUACUUAAGUGGAAAACGAUGUGAAGUUACUUAAACAACCAGGAGGUUGGCUUAGAAGCAGCCAUCCUUUAAAGAAAGCGUAAUAGCUCACUGGUCUAGUGAUUUUGCGCGGAAAAUAUAACGGGGCUAAAGUAAGUACCGAAGCUGUAGACUUAGUUUACUAAGUGGUAGGAGAGCGUUCUAUUUGCGUCGAAGGUAUACCGGUAAGGAGUGCUGGAGCGAAUAGAAGUGAGCAUGCAGGCAUGAGUAGCGAUAAUUAAUGUGAGAAUCAUUAACGCCGUAAACCCAAGGUUUCCUACGCGAUGCUCGUCAUCGUAGGGUUAGUCGGGUCCUAAGUCGAGUCCGAAAGGGGUAGACGAUGGCAAAUUGGUUAAUAUUCCAAUACCAACAUUAGUGUGCGAUGGAAGGACGCUUAGGGCUAAGGGGGCUAGCGGAUGGAAGUGCUAGUCUAAGGUCGUAGGAGGUUGUACAGGCAAAUCCGUAUAACAAUACUCCGAGAACUGAAAGGCUUUUUGAAGUCUUCGGAUGGAUAGAAGAACCCCUGAUGCCGUCGAGCCAAGAAAAGUUUCUAAGUUUAGCUAAUGUUGCCCGUACCGUAAACCGACACAGGUGGGUGGGAUGAGUAUUCUAAGGCGCGUGGAAGAACUCUCUUUAAGGAACUCUGCAAAAUAGCACCGUAUCUUCGGUAUAAGGUGUGGUUAGCUUUGUAUUAGGAUUUACUCCGAAAGCAAGGAAACUUACAACAAAGAGUCCCUCCCGACUGUUUACCAAAAACACAGCACUCUGCUAACUCGUAAGAGGAUGUAUAGGGUGUGACGCCUGCCCGGUGCUCGAAGGUUAAUUGAUGGGGUUAGCAUUAGCGAAGCUCUUGAUCGAAGCCCGAGUAAACGGCGGCCGUAACUAUAACGGUCCUAAGGUAGCGAAAUUCCUUGUCGGUUAAAUACCGACCUGCAU